GCUUUACACAUGCAAGUCGAACGGCAGCACGGACUUCGGUCUGGUGGCGAGUGGCGAACGGGUGAGUAAUAUAUUGGAACGUAUCCAAUAAUGGGGGAUAACUAAUCGAAAGGUUGGCUAAUACCGCAUACGCCCUACGGGGGAAAGCAGGGGAUCUUCGGACCUUGCGUUAAUGGAGCGGCUGAUAUCUGAUUAGCUAGUUGGUGAGGUAAAGGCUCACCAAGGCGACGAUCAGUAGCUGGUCUGAGAGGACGACCAGCCACACUGGAACUGAGACACGGUCCAGACUUCUACGGGAGGCAGCAGUGGGGAAUUUUGGACAAUGGGCGCAAGCCUGAUCCAGCCAUUCCGCGUGAGUGAAGAAGACCUUCGGGUUGUAAAGCUCUUUCGCAAGGGAAGAAAACUUACUUUUUAAUAAAGAGUGAGGUUGACGGUACCUUGAUAAGAAGCACCGGCUAACUACGUGCCAGCAGCCGCGGUAAUACGUAGGGUGCGAGCGUUAAUCGGAAUUACUGGGCGUAAAGCGUGCGCAGGCGGUUUUGUAAGUCGGAUGUGAAAUCCCCGAGCUCAACUUGGGAACUGCGUUUGAAACUACAAGACUAGAAUAUGUCAGAGGGGGGUAGAAUUCCACGUGUAGCAGUGAAAUGCGUAGAGAUGUGGAGGAAUACCAAUGGCGAAGGCAGCCCCCUGGGAUAAUAUUGACGCUCAUGCACGAAAGCGUGG
rnacentral:rRNA from 1 species